rnacentral:rRNA from 1 species
GGCUCAGAUUGAACGCUGGCGGCAGGGCCUAAACACAUGCAAGUCGAGCGGUAGAGAGGUGCUUGCAUCUCUUGAGGGGCGGCGGACGGGUGAGUAAUGCCUAGGAAUCUGCCUAGUGGUGGGGGAUAACGUUCGGAAACGGACGCUAAUACCGCAUACGUCCUACGGGAGAAAGCGGGGGAUCUUCGGACCUCGCGCCAUUAGAUGAGCCUAGGUCGGAUUAGCUAGUUGGUGAGGUAAUGGCUCACCAAGGCGACGAUCCGUAACUGGUCUGAGAGGAUGAUCAGUCACACUGGAACUGAGACACGGUCCAGACUCCUACGGGAGGCAGCAGUGGGGAAUAUUGGACAAUGGGCGAAAGCCUGAUCCAGCCAUGCCGCGUGUGUGAAGAAGGUCUUCGGAUUGUAAAGCACUUUAAGUUGGGAGGAAGGGUAGUAACCUAAUACGUUGCUACUUUGACGUUACCGACAGAAUAAGCACCGGCUAACUCCGUG